GGGUGCAUGGUUGAGUGGUUAGCAUGGUUGCCUCACACCUCCAGGGUCGGGGGUUCGAUUCCCACUGUGUGCU